GACGAACGCUGGCGGCGUGCUUAACACAUGCAAGUCGAACGGAAAGGCCCUGCUUUUGUGGGGUGCUCGAGUGGCGAACGGGUGAGUAACACGUGAGUAACCUGCCCUUGACUUUGGGAUAACUUCAGGAAACUGGGGCUAAUACCGGAUAGGAGCUCCUGCUGCAUGGUGGGGGUUGGAAAGUUUCGGCGGUUGGGGAUGGACUCGCGGCUUAUCAGCUUGUUGGUGGGGUAGUGGCUUACCAAGGCCUGGACGGGUAGCCGGCCUGAGAGGGUGACCGGCCACAUUGGGACUGAGAUACGGCCCAGACUCCUACGGGAGGCAGCAGUGGGGAAUAUUGCACAAUGGGCGGAAGCCUGAUGCAGCAACGCCGCGUGCGGGAUGACGGCCUUCGGGUUGUAAACCGCUUUCGCCUGUGACGAAGCGUGAGUGACGGUAAUGGGUAAAGAAGCACCGGCUAACUACGUG
rnacentral:rRNA from 1 species